CUUAUCUCCUGGCAGCAACUCUUUGCUCCAGGAGAGCACUCCCCUCCCCCUCAAAAAAAAAAAAAGGAGAGCACUCCCCUCCCUCAAUGGCGGGAAGAAGGGAUCGCCGACGGAGUUGCCGGCAGGCGGGAUCCACCUCCGCGGCGGCGUCGGAACGCUCCUCCUGCUGCUCCAGUGAGUUUUGUUGGAACUGCAUGCUAAUUGACAUGGACAACUCAAGCCAGUUUGCAACUUGUGUAUCUGUGGGCAUAUGUGCCAUUCAACACCUGAAGCUAGCCAUGAUUGUGUGAGGCAGGCCAAGUCAUGCUCCCCGACGGUAGAGAGUGUGGUAGAACUCUUAAUUCUGGUGCUCCCUUGUUAUGCUGCAGCAGCUGGUUGUUUAGUUACCUCCCUUAUAAAAAUUCAGGUUGCUCUUCCCAUUAGUUGGAAUCAGUUUUAUCAUGACAAGUUUAUGACUGUUCAAAAAAUGACAAGUUUAUGAAUACCCCAUCAUUU